rnacentral:rRNA from 1 species
UACGAAGGGGGCUAGCGUUGCUCGGAAUCACUGGACGUAAAGCGCACGUAGGCGGAUUGUUAAGUCAGGGGUGAAAUCCUGGAGCUCAACUCCAGAACUGCCUUUGAUACUGGCGAUCUCGAGUCCGGGAGAGGUGAGUGGAACUGCGAGUGUAGAGGUGAAAUUCGUAGAUAUUCGCAAGAACACCAGUGGCGAGGGCGGCUCACUGGCCCGGGUACUGACGCUGAGGUGCGAAAGCGUGGGGAGCAACAGG